CAUCUGUCUAAUCGUCUUCCUCCUCUUGUCUGCCGCCGCUGCCCGUGCCGCCGCGGCCGCACGGCAGUCCGGCAGCCCGGCCAUCCGGCAUCCGGGAAGGCGGCAAGUCCGCUACUUGGUCGACUGCAAGUCUGCAACGCCGUGAGCACACCAUAGAUUCAACUAUUAUGAAGAUUACCUUUCAUCUAUUUUUGAUCCAAGAACAUGGGAAAUUGUUGACAAUAGCAAAAGGGAUAUUUUAAUUGAGAAGAAACCUGUUAGACAACCAGAUCUUGAGUUCGAGAAGGACACCAUUGGUAGACACUUUUCAUAUGCUUUUUACUCCAGAAAGUUAAGUAAUGGUAAGUUUGUUGACAGAAAGUGGUUAUGUGCUGCAUUGAGAAGGAUAUCUUGGACAAUGUUGAUCCUGAUUGUGCCCUCCAAAGAAACUUUUUCUGAAGCACUAAAGUAUUAUUGUUGUCGAUGGAUUCAGUCGAAUUUGGUUCUUAUUUGAGAACCAAUCAUCACGGAUGGCAUAAUCAUGUGGUGGUAGAGUAGGGGAAUUGAAAAAGAAGAGGGUGAAUCGACACAAGGUUGUCCAUCCUGGGCAGGGAGAGGCUGUAUCGUUUAAGCAGCGGGGGCGAGUUUGCGAGGCCAUGGAGCUUGUUUUAUUUGUCAGACACUUUUAUGGUAAUUUCAGCAUAAGAGAAUGUCUGAAGUUACGUGUUGCUUACCAAGUCAAGCAAGAUACUGGAGGCCUUGAAGUCACAGUAGAUCACUGGCGGGUCGGCGUCGUGGAGAAGGCAAGGCCCUUGGCCGCACCGACAGCGAUCUUCAUACUUGUCAUCCACAGGAGGGAGCCAUUUAUACAUGAAGGAAAUAGGAUGUUUCAGGUCAGUUUCCUAGUCCACAUUGACCAAUAGUUGUAACUUGCAAGCACCAAGAAGUUGGUCGGAGGAUUAAUAUUUAAUCCAAAAUAUACAACGUUUUAGUAAAUAUCCAAUGUCUACAUUCGUCUGACUUCAAAAAGAGAAAGAAUUGUCCCUUUGGAAGCCCGAGAGCAAUUGGUUCCUUGUGUUUCAUGUUGUGUGGCAUGUGGCCGUGGGUAGCAGGGAAUUUCCAGCUACAAACUCCAUGAUGGGGUACAGAAUGAUUAGCUCCAAUUUCAUUCGUUAAUAAUAUCCCGGUCAACCGCAUGGCUCUUAAAUAAAUCUUUCUUUAACCUGCAUCUAGCUAGAGGAAUUUGAACACUUGCUAGUACUCAAUUACCCUAACUGGUCACUGGAUUGCACACUAAAUUAGCUGCAAGUUUUUUAUUUCGCCAGGUUUCCUUGAUUAGGACAGGCAUAUAGAUUGUGGGAUCAACCUCUUUUCCAUGAUAGGGUGCCGCCCUAGAAAUUGCGAAUAUUUAACAUUCAACGAUAUCCAAUUGACAGUCGGAGUACCAUAUUAUCCAUCCAUGAUAGGAGAGCAAGAGCACAUAUUGCUUUGGGUAUCCAUUCAUGAUAGGAGAGGAAGAGCACAUAUUGCUCUGGGUAUCUCACACUGAAUCGGUUCCUCAAAGUGCGCAUUCCAUCAUCAUGGGUAAACUCUAGCUUUGGUUAAUA